ensembl:processed_transcript
UUAUCUCUACAGGUUUGAGGUGCUACUUACAAACAAAAGGAUGGGAAUAUGCUCUUUUCUCAGAAUAUGGUUCAUCUCAAGGCCAUUUACACUUUGGAGCCAGGCCUGUUCAGUUUUACAAAUAGCACAGGUAAGUAUUGAUGGUUUGUGCUUUCUUAGGGAGUAUAUUUAGAUGGCCACUUGAUGAUGAACAAUGUGAAAGACAAGCAUAUGGCUGAGCUGUGGUGAUGUCAUCUCACUACUGAGAAGUGGGCUGAAGAAAGAAGGUGCUGAGGUGGCUGUGAUUACAUUUUAAAAUGACAUAGUUUCUGUUUCCAGGUUACUGUGACAACAUGAAGAGUUGAAGGUACCUCCCAGGAUGAUUGCAGAUUUUCCCGGUGGUGAGUCUCCGGCAUUCAAAGGUUCUGUUAGUGCCAUACUUGUUGGUUUACAGAGAUGGUGUGUCUGGCUGAGACCAAAGGAGCCAUGCCAGGUACAUGUUUUAGCAAUGCUUUUUGUAGUAUUAGCUUGAAUAUAUAAUACUUAGACCUAGUGAAUUCUUGCUCACCCUGAUGAAUUGAAUACCGCCCCAGUCUGAUAGCUGUGAAGAAAGGUAUUUUCUGAGUUGUGAGCUCAUCUUGGAUUAAGUAGGAGAUUUUUUUAUGUUAGUAUGAUUUCUGUAAAAGAAGCUUAAAUGUUAAUGGCCCAAAAUUUUUUGCUGUUUUUCAGGAAAGUUAAAGCGUAUCUUCAUUUUUAAGUCCAGGCUAAAGUAAGGUGAGAAAACUUAUGUAAAGUAUGCUGAACUAUAGUUUCCCCAUGAAGAAAUGUUCAAACGUCC